UACGUAGGGGGCAAGCGUUGUUCGGAUUUACUGGGCGUAAAGGGCGCGUAGGCGGCGUGACAAGUCACUUGUGAAAUCUCCGGGCUUAACUCGGAACGGCCAAGUGAUACUGUCGUGCUAGAGUGCAGAAGGGGCAAUCGGAAUUCUUGGUGUAGCGGUGAAAUGCGUAGAUAUCAAGAGGAACACCUGAGGUGAAGACGGGUUGCUGGGCUGACACUGACGCUGAGGCGCGAAAGCUAGGGGAGCAAACGGG
rnacentral:rRNA from 1 species